ACUAUUCAAAACCCCUGUGCACUUAUGGUAGGUGGUGGAUUAACUUCCAUUCACCUACGUUUUAUCAUAAACUCGAAUGCUAUAGAAUGUACAUGUAUGACCUUUGAUCAAAACAUUAAUACAACUUUCAACAAUGGAUCUCUUGGUUCUCGCAUCGAUGAAGAACGCAGCGAAUUGCGAUAUGUAAUGUGAAUUGCAGAAUUCAGUGAAUCAUCGAAUCUUUGAACGCAUCUUGCGCCCUUUGGUAUUCCGAAGGGCAUGCCUGUUUGAGUGUCAUUAAAUUCUCAACUACGAUUUUGUAGCUUGGAUAUUGGAGGUCUUUGCAGGCUCGAAAGAGUCAGCUCCUCUUAAAUGCAUUAGCAGAGCUUUAAAAAGGAUCGGCUUUGGUUUGAUAAUAUCUAUGCCAUCGCUGGAACGAUUAUAGUUCAGCUUAUAAUCGUCUUAGGACUGUCAAAGGCAUCAUUUAAACUUGACCUCAAAUCAGGUAGGACUACCCGCUGAACUUAAGCAUAUCAAUAAGCGGAGGA
rnacentral:rRNA from 1 species